CCUACGGGGGGCAGCAGUGAGGAAUAUUGGUCAAUGGCCGCAGGGCUGAACCAGCCAAGUCGCGUGAGGGAUGACGGUCCUAUGGAUUGUAAACCUCUUUUUUCAGGGAGCAAAGGGCGCCACGUGUGGCGCUUUGCGAGUACCUGAAGAAAAAGCAUCGGCUAACUCCGUGCCAGCAGCCGCGGUAAUACGGAGGAUGCGAGCGUUAUCCGGAUUUAUUGGGUUUAAAGGGUGCGCAGGCGGAAUGUCAAGUCAGCGGUAAAAUUUCGGGGCUCAACCCAGUCGUGCCGUUGAAACUGGCGUUCUUGAGUGAGCGAGAAGUAUGCGGAAUGCGUGGUGUAGCGGUGAAAUGCAGAGAUAUCACGCAGAACUCCGAUUGCGAAGGCAGCAUACCGGCGCUCAACUGACGCUCAUGCACGAAAGCGUGGGUAUCGAACAGGAUUAGAUACCCUGGUAGUC
rnacentral:rRNA from 1 species